CGAGCGGCGGACGGGUGAGUAAUGCCUAGGAAUCUGCCUGGUAGUGGGGGAUAACGUUCGGAAACGGACGCUAAUACCGCAUACGUCCUACGGGAGAAAGCAGGGGACCUUCGGGCCUUGCGCUAUCAGAUGAGCCUAGGUCGGAUUAGCUAGUUGGUGAGGUAAUGGCUCACCAAGGCGACGAUCCGUAACUGGUCUGAGAGGAUGAUCAGUCACACUGGAACUGAGACACGGUCCAGACUCCUACGGGAGGCAGCAGUGGGGAAUAUUGGACAAUGGGCGAAAGCCUGAUCCAGCCAUGCCGCGUGUGUGAAGAAGGUCUUCGGAUUGUAAAGCACUUUAAGUUGGGAGGAAGGGCAGUUACCUAAUACGUAUCUGUUUUGACGUUACCGACAGAAUAAGCACCGGCUAACUCUGUGCCAGCAGCCGCGGUAAUACAGAGGGUGCAAGCGUUAAUCGGAAUUACUGGGCGUAAAGCGCGCGUAGGUGGUUUGUUAAGUUGGAUGUGAAAUCCCCGGGCUCAACCUGGGAACUGCAUUCAAAACUGACAAGCUAGAGUAUGGUAGAGGGUGGUGGAAUUUCCUGUGUAGCGG
rnacentral:rRNA from 1 species